rnacentral:rRNA from 1 species
UACGAAGGGGGCUAGCGUUGCUCGGAAUCACUGGGCGUAAAGCGCACGUAGGCGGAUUGCUAAGUCAGGGGUGAAAUCCUGGAGCUCAACUCCAGAACUGCCCUUGAUACUGCCAGUCUUGAGGUCGGGAGAGGUGAGUGGAACUCCGAGUGUAGAGGUGAAAUUCGUAGAUAUUCGGAAGAACACCAGUGGCGAAGGCGGCUCACUGGCCCGAUUCUGACGCUGAGGCGCGAAAGCGUGGGGAGCAAACAGG